rnacentral:rRNA from 1 species
GUGGACGCCAGUCUGCAUGGAGCCAACCUUGAAAUACCACCCUUUAAUGUUUGAUGUUCUAACGUAGACCCGUAAUCCGGGUUGCGGACAGUGUCUGGUGGGUAGUUUGACUGGGGCGGUCUCCUCCCAAAGAGUAACGGAGGAGCACGAAGGUUAGCUAAUCCUGGUCGGACAUCAGGAGGUUAGUGCAAUGGCAUAAGCUAGCUUGACUGCGAGCGUGACGGCGCGAGCAGGUGCGAAAGCAGGUCAUAGUGAUCCGGUGGUUCUGAAUGGAAGGGCCAUCGCUCAACGGAUAAAAGGUACUCCGGGGAUAACAGGCUGAUACCGCCCAAGAGUUCAUAUCGACGGCGGUGUUUGGCACCUCGAUGUCGGCUCAUCACAUCCUGGGGCUGAAGUAGGUCCCAAGGGUAUGGCUGUUCGCCAUUUAAAGUGGUACGCGAGCUGGGUUUAGAACGUCGUGAGACAGUUCGGUCCCUAUCUGCCGUGGGCGCUGGAGAAUUGAGGGGGGCUGCUCCUAGUACGAGAGGACCGGAGUGGACGCAUCACUGGUGUUCGGGUUGUCAUGCCAAUGGCAUUGCCCGGUAGCUACAUGCGGAAGAGAUAAGUGCUGAAAGCAUCUAAGCACGAAACUUGCCCCGAGAUGAGUUCUCCCUGAGACUUUAAGUCUCCUGAAGGAACGUUGAAGACGACGACGUUGAUAGGCUGGGUGUGUAAGUGCAGCGAUGCAUUGAGCUAACCAGUACUAAUGAACCGUGAGGCUUAACCUUACAACGCCAAAGGUGUUUUG